rnacentral:tRNA from 1 species
CAAGUUAAAGCUUUAAAAAGUUUUUUAGUUACAUUAAAAAGAUUAUCUUAAUUGAUAUAAUUUGA